UGCAUUAAGCAGAAGCCAUCCGCUUCUCACCUUACGACGCCUGGGAGCAGUUAGUAAGGUAACAGUAGGCAAUCAUUUUGAUAUGCUAUUAUGCGGGUGGUUUAUACCACCCGCUUUUUAUUUUAUUU
rnacentral:sRNA from 1 species